GUCGCGUGAAAGUUAUUUCCCCUUUAUGCAGUUACGCCAUUUUCUCUAAAAGUUGCUAUAAAAAACGGAUUUAGGUUUUUCAUUAAAGAUUGGAUGAAAAAAAACUUGAUAACACCAAUCUGCAUUAUUUUGAUAAAAGUAGAGCGGGGUCGGGCAUUUCCAAAGAGCUAUAAAAAUAACUUUAUACUUCGACUGGCGUGCCUGAGUCGAACAUUCAAGAUUACAUGACGUCAUAACUUUUGUCAGCGACAUCAAAACACUGGUCAGGUAAAGUCAUGUAUAGCCUGCCAGAAGUUAGAUCCACUUAAACCAGCACAGAGACCUGAACUGCAGCAAAUAAAGGUGUUAAGUCCUUUUGAACUGGUUAGAGUUGACUUGUUAGGAUCUUUCACAGAAACUAGUCAAGGCUGUCUUUACAUCUUCACUGCAACCGACUAUUACACAAAGUUGGUUGAGGCAUUUCUUAUUUUAUCAAAGCAGGCCUCAGAUGUUGCUAAGUGCUUCCAAAAGCUUUUUCUAGAUGUGGUGCUGUGAAUGCUGUCCUCACUGACCAGGGAAAGGAAUUUGUAAACAGUAUUAUAAAUGCAUUCCUGCAGAUGAUUAAGGCGUGAGACAUAACAUCAGAGAGCCCCAUCUUAUUACUCCCUUCCUACACAGCUGUGUUGUGGGAUGCUGGUGAAAUAGACAAACUGGCUAUUUAAAAAGGUGCAGUUUAGAAAGUACUGAUACAUUGUCAUGUCUGUCAAUAUCAACAACAAUCAUUGGGUACUUUUAGUAGCAAGUGGUGAGAGACAGAACCAUUACGGUUCUUGAUUCCAUGAAUGGAAGUAAUGGAUGCAUGUUCAUUGACCUGUGGAGACAGCACAUGCAGAUCAGAGAUUCACACCCUGAAAGAGAUGAAGAACUUUGGCCAUGGACAGCAGUCCACACUGAUAUGAACAGACAGGCAGAUGGCUCCUGUGGAGUAUUUGUCCUUACGAAUGCAGAAUGCAUUGCUGUAGAUGUUACUACAUCAGUUAAGCAACAAGUACAUUGCCCAGUGUACAGGCAUAAUGUCAAGUCAAGGCUGACUGGGAGUGGCAUGCAGAAGGAAGAGGAUAUCUGUAACAUGCCAAACUGAAAACCAGAGAAGGGAACACAGAGGUGGAUUCAGUGCUGUGUGUAUGACCGCUGGUUUCAAAGAAGGCAGCAGUUGAAGAUGAGAAUCAGGAGCUCGAUGUGUUGGUUGAUGUUGAUAUAGAAGAGGAAGAGAUUGAUGAUCAUCGUGACCCUCAGAUGAUCAGUCAGAUCUUGUCCAAAGCUGACUUGGAUGUUAAUGAUACAACUAGUUGCUGGGUCCACAAACAGCGGCAGAAGUACUACAGCAUGCAAACAGUAUGAACACCACGGCAGGCCUGCACACACAAGGGUGGUCCUCUAUAACAAUGAUCUGAGAAUCAUCUCGAGACAGGAGGACGAUAUCUUUGAGGAGUUGUUCCAGCGACAGUUGGAUGCAGUCCAGAGAUCUAGACAGUUGUAUGCAGUCAGAUCUGGACAGUUAUAUACAGUCAGAUCUCAGCAGUUGUAUGCAGUCAGGAGAUCUAGACAGUUGUAUGCAGUCAUAUCUUGACAGUUGUAUGCAGUCCAGAGAUCUCGACAGUUGUAUGCAGUCGGGAGACCUUGACAUUAUAUGCAGCCUGGAGAUCUCGACAGUUGUAUGCAUUCCGGGGAUCUUGACAGCUGUAUGCAGUCUGGAGAUAUUGACAGUUGUAUGCAGUCAGGAGAUCUCAACAGUUGUAUGCAGUCAGGAGAUCUCAGUUCUUUUUGUAAUGUUGGCAUUCUCAAUAUUCAGUCUCAAAUAGAAAUAACUUGGACUGCUUAAAUGUUUCUCUAUAACUUGCAGAUGUGCAGCCUGUGACAUUCUUAUAUAGAAGACAUGUGUGUGAAAUAUAAUGAAUAUGAACUGUCACUGUUAAGUUGAAAUGUUUCAAGAAAUGUUUUUAACACAGUGAGACUGAAAAUAAGAAAUCAUUAGGAAGUAAGCUAUGGACAUUUGAACAAAGACCAGUGACUUUUUGGUUUGGCACAGUCCAGUAUAAUGAUGGAUGUCUUUGAUGGAAAAAGAAGACCACAAACUGAACAUCCUGGAAAAUGGAAUAAUGUUUGAAUAAAUGUUGUUUUUUUCUUAUUUUGUAAAAAAAUACCUUGCAUGUCCUGUCUUAAAAAUGUUGGUAGUUGUUUUUACCAAAGGCCCUUUAAUUGACUUGGGUAUUACUUAAAUUUCAUAUUGUUUGAUUGCUUUACAUAAAUUUUAAACUGAUCAAUGUAUUGUGAAAAUGAUGCACUUGGGCUUACUAUAGGGAAUUUACCUUUGUCAGUCUUUGAAUUUUUGUACGUCAGUCUACAUUUGUUUUGUGUCACUCUUUGAAUUUUUGUAAUGUUGCAAAUGUUUUGCAGUUCUCAUGAGAUUUAGUUAACAACUGUCAGUCGUUAUAUGCAUGGAGGCUUGUUUGGUGUCGAAAUAUAAAGAUUUAAUUUUAUUCUUUCUACAGUACAUAUUUUGAGUUAAUAUGAAUGGAACUGUAUAGACAGCAACAAGUAUUGAUUGGCUUGCUUGAUAUUUGUGAGUCUGCUUUGAAAAAUCACAAUACCUCAUCAUUCCUAACAGUCUGAUGUAACAUCAUAUUUUUAAAGAAUUUACUGUGUAAAGAAAUGUAGAUUUUGACAAAAGAUCUAACAUUUGCAAAAGUACCAAUAUUGUGUCAUGUAUUGAGCUAUAUAUAUAUAUGUAUUAUACUGGAUCAACCAUUCGAUGUACAAUCAGAAGAACUAUUCAAGGAGCUCAACUGGAUGAAAUUCCAUGACCGAAUCAACUACAAAAAAGCAAUUUUGGUAAAUCUUUAAAUGGGUUGAGCUCUGAUUAUCUUAAAGUAAAGUUUACAUACUCUCAAAAUAAGUUGUUAUGAUCUUUUUACAUUGUUGUUUGUUCAAUAUGUUUAUAAAUGAAAAAGUAUAGAUAU
rnacentral:lncRNA from 1 species